UGGUGUGUAGCUCAGUGGGAGAGCACUACCUUGACACGGUAGGGGUCCGCGGUUCAAUCCCGCGCACACCAA
rnacentral:tRNA from 2 species